CGAGCGCACCCUUAUCCUUUGUUGCCAGCGGUCCGGCCGGGAACUCAAAGGAGACUGCCAGUGAUAAACUGGAGGAAGGUGGGGAUGACGUCAAGUCAUCAUGGCCCUUACGAGUAGGGCUACACACGUGCUACAAUGGCGCAUACAAAGAGAAGCGACCUCGCGAGAGCAAGCGGACCUCAUAAAGUGCGUCGUAGUCCGGAUUGGAGUCUGCAACUCGACUCCAUGAAGUCGGAAUCGCUAGUAAUCGUGAAUCAGAAUGUCACGGUGAAUACGUUCCCGGGCCUU
rnacentral:rRNA from 1 species